UUGUUGCGGUUAAAAAGCUCGUAGUUGGAUUUUGGGCGCAGGCGGCCGGUCCGUCGCAAGGCGUGUACUGGACGUCCUGGCCUUCCCUCCGGUUCUCCGCCGGUGCUCUUGACUGAGUGUCGGCGGCGGCCGGAACGUUUACUUUGAAAAAAUUAGAGUGUUCAAAGCAGGCUCUCGAGCCUGGAUAAUGGUGCAUGGAAUAAUGGAAUAGGACCUCGGUUCUAUUUUGUUGGUUUUCGGAGCGCGAGGUAAUGAUUAAGAGGGACAGACGGGGGCAUUCGUACUGUGCCGUUAGAGGUGAAAUUCUUGGAUCGGCGCAAGACGAACGACUGCGAAAGCAUUUGCCAAGAAUGUUUUCUUUAAUCAAGAGCGAAAGUCAGAGGUUCGAAGACGAUCAGAUACCGUCCUAGUUCUGACUAUAAACGAUGCCAACUAGCGAUCGGGGGGCGUUACAUUGACGACCCCUCCGGCAGCUUACGAGAAACCAAAGUCUUUGGGUUCCGGGGGAAGUAUGGUUGCAAAGCUGAAACUUAAAGGAAUUGACGGAAGGGCACCACCAGGAGUGGAGCCUGCGGCUUAAUUUGACUCAACACGGGAAAUCUCACCCGGCCCGGACACAGUGAGGAUUGACAGAUUGAGAGCUCUUUCUUGAUUCUGUGGGUGGUGGUGCAUGGCCGUUCUUAGUUGGUGGAGCGAUUUGUCUGGUUAAU
rnacentral:ncRNA from 1 species